rnacentral:rRNA from 1 species
AAGCUAACGCAUUAAGUAUCCCUCCUGGGGAGUACGGCCGCAAGGCUAAAACUCAAAGGAAUUGGCGGGGAGGCACACAACCAGUGGAACAUGUGGUUCAAUUCGAAACGAACCGAAGAACCUCACCAGGGUUUGACAUCCCGACGUUCUAUUUCUUGGAAACAAGAGAAAUGCGCAAGCAGGUCGGGACAGGUGCUGCAUGGCUGUCGUCAGCUCGUUCCGUGAGGAGUGCCCUUAAGUGGGACAACGAGCGCAACCCCCAUCCUGUGUUAUAUCUAUCACAGGAGACUGCCCCAGCUUAGCUGGGGAGGAAGGAGGGGCAGACGUCAAGUCAGCAUGGUCCUUAUACCCUGGGCUACACACAUGUUACAAUGGACAGAAACAACGGGUUUCGCAAACUUGUAAAGGUUAGCAAAUCCCUGAAAUCUGUCCUCAGUGGGGAUUGAGGUCUGCAACUCGACCUCAUGAACGCGGAAUUGGUAGUAAUCGCAGAUCAGUCAUGCUGCGGUGAAUACGUUCUUGCCUCUUGCACACACCGCCCGUCAAGCCAACAAAGUCGAAAAAAUUUGAAGCCAGCUUAGCUGGCGAGGAUUUCUUUGGCGAUGGGGGUUAAGUCGUAACAAGGUAACC